GCCAGCACAAGACAUCCUGACCUUCAAGGGAGGGAGGAACACCUUGAGAGGAGUUGAGAUCCUGCUUUCUCUUCAGAAUGCCAUCUCUAGGAUGCCAAUGGGCUGUGUCUACAGUACUAUGUAGGAAAGUGCUGCAAGAGAGAGCCCAUUUUGCCUAAACAAGAACCACGAUUAUGUAAAGAAAUCAUAAACACCUCUAAAACACAUGUAUACUGGUGGUGUUAGUCAACUUAUAUCACUGUCUGUGAAGACGAUGCAGCAAAUUCAAUGAAAGUUGUAUACAUCAUGGAAAAGUUUGAAUUGCAUGAAGAAAAGAAGCUGACGGAAGUUCUUUCUGUCACCUCUCUGAAGACCUGGUUCAUAUCUGCAGCUGCAACUCUAUCCCUGAACUCAUCUUUGAAACUACCCAGAGAUAGACUGUCAAGAGCUUCAGAGCUUUACAACAGGAUCUUCCAAGUGCCCUGAGAGGUCAUGAUGGAGCCAAUAGAAAUAAAUCAUACAAAACAAAGCCAGAACCUGGUGGGAGGGAUGCUUACAAAACAACAUAAACGAGAAGUUGUCUGAAAAAAAAUUGUAUGGAAGGAAGAAGAGAUGAGAUAAGGGAAAUGAACUCAUAAUAGCCCCAGUUAAAAUACUUACAGUAAAAUAUCAUUAGUACUACUUGAUGUUGGUGAAAGGCUCUAGACUCAAGUCAGAAGGCCCAAUUUGUUGCUGUGAUUUCUUGAACAAAUUAUGUAAUUGUGUUGAGAUUCAGUUUUCUUUUCUAUCAUUGGGUAUUAAUAACUUCUAUGUGAUGUCAGAGUUAUGAUGUGAAGUUAAAAUAACUAAUAAAUGGGUAAACCCUGAAAA
rnacentral:lncRNA from 1 species